GUGGCGGGUGCCUGGCCAAUCGGAACCCGGGAGGCGCCAAUGCCGGGCUGGAGGCGCACGGAGGGUCGCGCGCAGAGCGUCGCGCGCACAGCUUGUCCUGGGUCCCCCAGAAGUCCUCCCCGAGGUCCGCGCUUCUCUGAGGACAGCUUCCGGGGAGGCCACGUUGGCUCCUAGGAGCAGGGCACCGGGAGCGGAGGAGGGGGCUGCGGGCGGGAGCGGGCUCCGGGGGCCAAGGCGAGCCCGCCGGGCUUCACUCCCCAACCAGGUGGGUGGGCUCGGCGGGCACCCCGAGGCUUGCGCGGUGCGCACUGCGCCUCCCGAAGGGUGGGCCUGGCGGGGCCUCUGCCGUUGGCCCCCAGGGCCCACUCUGGCCUGGGCACCCGGCUUUAGGCCCCCAUGGUUGGUGCCCAGGGGCAUUUCUCUCAGCCCCAGAGCUUGAGGCAGGGAGUUGCAUUUUGGUUGAUUUCCACAAAAUAAAACUGUGUCUUGCACCCGAGUGCAUCCCUCGAGAUUUAUGCCGUGUAAUGGGCGAAGGAGAGAGGUGGGGACCCGGCCUGGCUGGAGAGGCGCCUGGAGGCUGAGAUGGACCUGCGGGCCCGGCGGAAGCUCCCGGCUGUAGGAGCAGGACCCAGGCUUGGGGACCUGGUGGACCGCGGAGAUCCCGGGGCACAGCGCCUGCCCCUCCAUCUCCCCGCUUCUCUCCAAAGGGCCCUGUGCAAAGAUGGCUCCUUGGAAAGGCAGAUGCUAAUUUCUUAACCGACCUUUGAGGCCGGCCCAAGCACUGACCUGUAACUUGCUCUAAGAACAAACCUUUGGUGUGGAUCUCUGCAUACCUGCACCGAGGGCUUGCCCACAGUGAGACCCUGUGCUUGGCGUCCAGGGACCAAAACGCUGCUUCUCUCCAAGCAGUCCUAGAUUCCAGGGUCUGUCAGCCAGAAGUCAGGUUCUGUCCAUACAGAGCCACCAGGACCAGCCCAGGACUGGGCCCAGGGAGCAGGCGUUGGGCCUGGCGGGGACUUCCAGGCUCAGAUGGACAAUUGACACUCCUCACACAUUCUCUCUCCUGCAGUUAAUUCCUCAUACAAUGAACAGAAAUAAAGAUAAUCAAAAUUCACCAGCCAGGAGACAUUGACGGCUGGGGCAGGAAAUCUACAAGAUGAGCCUGGAAGCAAGGAAAUGCUAAAGAACACACAAACCCACACGGGUGGGGUGUGUCAAAGGGCCAGCAGCCAGUUGACCGAGAUCCCAUUGGCCAAAGAUGGAAACAAUCUGACAGCAAAACAAAGUAGUGAUGGUUUAUGAGCUAAGUACAGAGUGAAUAUCUACGAGUGCACGCUGAUAUAAAUGAUUUGAAUAAAUAAACUGGGAGAAGAGACAUCUCUCAUGCAGAUUCCAAACAAUUUCCUAGACACUACCCACCGGGAGGGCACUGCCGCCCCCUCUAAGUGCGGGAACGUCCUUGCAGAGCACCGUGUGGACGGGUGGAAGGGGGACCGUGGUGCAGACACUGACAAACCACCUCCAGGAGGUCAAGGUUGACAACAGCGAUGGGUCAAGUGGAGAAGGGCACUCCACCUCUGCUCUUCCCCAAACCCAUGACCCCAUCUAACCAUGAGAAAAACAUCAGAAUAACCCCACUCGGACAUCCUGCAAAAUAACUGACCAGCACGCCUUAAAACUGUCACGGUCAUCAAAAACAAGGAAUGUCUGAGAAACUCGCAGCCAAGAGGUGCCUCAGGACGCACAACAAUUAAAUGCCAUGUGGGUCCUUGAUGGGAGCCCCGAACAGGAAGAGGACAUCAGGUAAAAACUGAGGAAAUCUGAAUGAAGAACGGACGUCAGUUAAUAAAGGAAAGCCAGCUCAUGCCCUUGACAAUGGACGGUUCUGAAGGAAGACGCUCGGCAUGGGGACAGCUGGUAACACUGCGCUACCAUCACACUAUUUCUGCAAAUCUGAAACUGUUCUAAAAAUAAAAUGUACUUAAAAAGUCAAUCAAUGUUACAACCAGCAGCUGAUGAAAGACACAGAAGAGGGGUGUGCAGGCUCAGCCCCUUCCCUGCCCCGAAGGGCAAGGUCAAGCAAGGUCCGAGCUGCCUCGGGGACAAGCCACAGGGGGCGAGGGAAGAGGCUGACGCCUGGUGGGAGGGGCUCCAGGACCGUGAGCUCAGGGCACAGAUGCCACUGUAAGGUGAGGGUGACCGCCAUGCUCUCAGGCCACUGAGGUGAGCAGACUCCUACUCAGGGCAGAAGGAAAAACAAACCAGGCUCAGAAAUGGUGGGAAGAGUAAAACCUGGCCACACUCUAUGCUGGAACCCAGUUCUGGACAGUGGUCCGUGUAUGAGCGCAUCCUUUCAUGGGUGUUUGCUUCCGUUUCUCUAGGUUCCCCGAUGACAUCGUCUCGCUGUGUCCUCAUGGGGGGAGAGACGGAGAGCUCUCUGGAGUCUCCUUUGUAAGGACACUGAGCCCCCUUCAUGACCUGAUGUCUCCCUCCUCACACCGUCACCUUUGGAAGCAACAAUCAGAGUGUGGCGUUGGCAAAAGGAUAGACACUUAGGUCAGUGACCAGACUGGAGUCCAGAAACAGACCCUCAUAAAUAUGGCAGUUUGAUCUCUGACCAUCGUGCUCAAGCAGUCCUUUGGAGAAAGGACAGUCUUUUCAACAAAUGCUGAUGGAACAACUGGUCGCCCAUAUGCAAAAAGCUGAACCUUACCGCUUACAAUCACCGCAAACGGGUCACAUAAACAUAAAACAUAAAACUAAAAUGUUUUCAAGAAAACAGAAUAUCUUUGUGACCCAGCAUUUGGCAGAGUUCUUAGACAUGAUGUCAAAGGCAUAAUCCAUAAAAGAAAACUAUGAUAAACUGAACUUCAUCAAAAUUAAAAACAUUUGAUCUGCCGACGACAGUGAGUGUCAAGGGAAUGGAAACACCAGCUACAGACUGGGAGAAAUAACCACACACCCAACUCAGGAGUAUCCAGAGUAUAUAAAGAGCUUUCUAAACUCAACAAUAAGAAAUAACUCAAUGAAAAAGUAGACAGAAGACAUACACAGACACUGCACCAAAGAUGACACGAUGACCAAUGAGCGCUGGUGUGACACCAGAGGCCGUCAGAAAAACGCAAGGCCAAGCAACAGUGAGAAGCCACGUCACACCUACAGACAGCGAGGAUCCCAGAAAACUGACAACAGGACAUGGAGAGCCUGGACUGUCAUACGUGCUCUUGGAAACGCAGAGCAGGGUAGCCCUCGGGAAGGCAGUCGGCAGCUUGCUUACAAAGCUACACACGCCAUGUGAUCCAGCAAUCCUGUAGAAAAACAAAAUGUUCCUUCCACAAGCAAACCUGUCCUUGAGUGUGCACAGCUGCUCGAUUCAGUCAUCAAAAACUGAAAGUGCAAAAGUCUUUCGCUGGGUGAGCGGUAGAUGAGCUGUUACAGCCACUUGCUGGAUGCCACUUGGCAGUGAAAACGGGGAAAUCCUGACAUGUGCAGCAGCGUGGACAGUCUCAAUGGCAGUACACUGAGAAGGAAUCGUGUCAAAAGGUUGCAUACAUACAAUUUUACUUAUACGGCAUCUGGAAAAGCCAACAUUGUAACACUGGGGAUCAGUGGUCGCCAGGGGUCACAGGUGGGGGCAUAUGUGGCAAUGAAGGGCAGGCCCACUCUGUGUCCUGACUGUGGUGGCCAUUACACAAAUCUAUAUAUGUUAAAACUUCAAAAACGAAACAAAAUCUUAAUUUAAAAAUUUUAAUUUAAAAAAUAAAACAAAAUUAGCAUAUUCCUGAUUAAAAUGUUUAGUAAGCUGUAACAGAAGGAAAUGUCUCAACUUGUAAGAGUAUUUAUCAAAACUCCUCAACAAUCAUGCUUCAACGGAGGCACUGACUAUUCCUGUUAAAGCCGGCACACAUGGUGUGCUUGCUGUCACCACCAACUGAUGUUUUUCCGGAGGCCCCAGAAGGGAGCAUGAACCGCAGAGGAGCAAAGGGCCAAGUGUCAGAGGGGCUCAACACUCGCCGGGACACGACCAUCCACGUGGCCAACAGAGCUCCCAGGGCCUCUCAGAGCAGCAGGCUCGGUACCAACACCGUGUCUUCCCUUUCCCAGAGUGACCCACGAACAUGUGGGCCAGGCCCCCACCGCCCCAAGGGACAAUUCGUGACACAAACCAGACAAGAAAUAUGUGAGAACUCUGAAGACAACGUGGAAGCUCUUUAGGAAGAUCGUGAAAGUUGACCUGACCACAAACAUGCCACGUGGUGGGUGCCCAAAGCCAACACCAGGUGGCAAACACUUGGGAACCUGGGCCCACCACCCUGCAUCCGUCAGGGGCCUUGGGUCCUGGGCCCAGCCCCCACCCUCUGGAGCCUGGGGUCCUGCAGACGAUGGAGGGGUCAAAUUCAGUCACUAGAAGCACCAUGCAGAACUCAGGACUCACGCCCGUCUGUGCCUCCCCAGAACGAAGCUUUUUCCCGCCCGCAGGAGUAUGUUCUCAGUCCCAGCAUUUUUCACGGCUGGUCCGCUUGUUUUAAAGGCCAGAGCCUUUUACCUUUCAAAAGAUUUUGACUAAAAAUGUUCUUAAAGAAGCAACUUUCUUUUCACAGUACCGCAGUACAGCUUAACCCCAGGAAUAAGCGCAGUGGUUAUGUACACACACAAAAAAUCCAGGGACAAUUAAGGAAACAGGAGCAGAAGGUGCCGAGUGGCCUUGUGCGUCCUGCAGGGACUGCUACUCGUAUGUGCAGCUGUACUUCAGUGUAACUAGGACAGGGCGACAUGACAUCAUCAUUCCAGCAGAAGGGGCACCGUGAUGCAGGCGGGUGUGGAGCGGGCGGCCCCCCACCACGGGCCCCUUAUGAGGGAUUUGUCACACCCUCUGGGGGCUUCAUCCUAAAGAACCAAAACUCAAAGGACUUAUCCUUGGCCACGCGGCAGGUGCUGUGAGGCAGAGCCAACACCGUUCCUUUUGUGCGCCUGUUACCUUGAGGAGACAUGCAGUCACGUGUCUGUCAUGGCACUUGGACAUUUUCAUGCACACGGAACCACACUCGCACCUGCCUACAGGAAGUACGCGGGAGCAGUGGACGGCCACAUGCUGCCCCACAAGGUCUGCAGAGGCCACGGGCACCCAGAACCCAGAGCCACCCAACCGCCUGCUCACCCGUGCCAAGUCGCCUUUCCUGGGAUGACAACCAGGUCUGUGGGCAGAGCUGGGAGGGGCUGCCCGAAGCUGUCAGGCCCCCAGUGCCCCCGACCUCACCUGGCAACGAUCUUGCAACCUGCCCACACGGACGACCAGCAAGGGGACCUUCAUUGUGAGGCUCCCCUGCAUUUUACUCCAGUAUCUAAAUGACAGGAGCCUUUACAUGUGGCUGCGGCCAAUACUCUGACAUUCGUAAGACGGACUAAAUGACUUACCGAAAAUAAAUAAAUCGGUUAGGUCAGUUUCUUAAGACUGAGCUUAUCUUCGUAGUUUACUGAUUUGAAACUCAUAAGCCAACAUAAUUUUGGUCACCACACUCUCCCUUUUUGAAACUCUCAGAUUUCUCAGACUUUCAAGAUUGCUGAAAAUUACUUAACCUUUAAAAAGUAAGGUUUUGAGCACAGUACUUUUCCCCCUCUAAAUGGUCUGUGAUGGUUAAUUAAAGUGCCAACCUGACGGGGCCCUUUAGUGUGCCCAGACUCACACUGUUCUGGGGGCAUGUGUAGGUGUAUUGGGGCGCCGUCCCCAGUGUGGUGGGCAUCCCUGCACCCUCGCUAGAGUCGGACGCAGGGCCCCCUGCCCUGGGACCACACUGGCCCAUGACCCCUGGGUUCCCGCUGGCAUACCAGCUCUAAGCCACAGUGCGUGAGGUCCGAGCAAACAGGUGACUGAGGGGACCUUACACACGGUACCUGCCCAAACCCUGGUACCAAACACUGCACCAGGUUAAAAAGUUCUGCGUCCAUAGUGACAUCACAAGGCCACGUGGAGCGAGGCAGCUGAGCUGGGGGCUCAGGGCUGUGGUGAGGGAGGGACAGGGCGAGUGGGGUGGGCAGGCUAUCCACACACUGUCCUCUACAGGUCACCUAGCUUAUGCUCUUUCAAACACUCUAGAUAACACAUCUCCAGCCUGAAAGAAAAUUAGUUAAGUUUUUCUCUUGCUUUUAUUACAAGCAUAUAAUAUUAAUUGGCAAAACACUGAAUACAAGCUUCACUGUCAUAAAAUCAAAACAUUUAAGCAAUAUUCCAAAAAAGAUUUUAGACAAAAACUAGCCACCAAUAGUACAAAAAUUACACACCAACACAAAGCAUAAAAAAAUGUAAACUUUCAAAUUAAACAGUCAAAAAUAUGUAUCUGCAUUGUCAUCUCCAUAACCCGCGACAGCUGCCAUGGUGCCACGCAUGACAGGCAGGCUGGUGGUGAGCUCUCUCAAACCCUGCACCGUCUGGGAAAACACGAUUUUCUUAAUCCCAAUUCUAACUUGUUGGAACAGACACUUACAGUAACGCUACGCACAUUUUAGGGGACACGCAGACUUCAGUCCAUCCCUCAGAUGUGCCCUCAGACGCUGACAAGGGAGGGGUGCCCAGGCUGGCACGUGCCAUGCGCCCUGCCUGGCAGGGACAGUCUGAAGACAGCGGUGUAGUCUGAAUGAUGUUUCCUCAUCUACUUAUCCCAAUGUGCUCAGGUCACUUAACUAGCAAGGCAGAUGCACCCUGGGGCAUCGGGCUGAGGUCGCAGGCGACUGCUGGAGUGUGUGGGGUUUCCUGAGCAAACAGAGACUGGGUUUGUGACCUGCUGUCUGCGCUCCCGUUAUCUUCGAUGUUCUGAGAACACGUCACAUGUUCACAUACAGCGUCAAGGUCAGCUGGCUCAUUCUUAGGGCAUUCGACCCAACGACACAUUUUAAAUCACUGGAAAAUGCCCGCGCUCUGAGGAAAAACCAAACGGUGUGUAAAGGCUGCAGGGAGGUCGCGGGAAGCAGCCCCGCCCUCUGCGUGUCCAGCGCCCGAGAGCCACGGCCGCGCGGCUGCCUGCCGGGUCACUGUUUCCAAAUGUUGCUGCCAGGUGCUCUUAUAGGCACACGCACAGCCCAGUAACGGUGUUCUUAUAAUAACAACAAUGAGAAAGGAAAAACCACGUGGCUGAAGGUACAGGCUUUGCGAUUCCACCCACACUCCUCGCAAGGAGGCGCCGUCGCCGUGUGAACAGCGCCGAGCGAGCGCACGCUGGGACCUAUUGCACAAAAGCGUGAGCAAAGCUCUUCAUCCGCAGAGAACGACAACAAAUCAAAACGACUCAAAGUAAAAAGAAGCUUGCAAAACAUCCCACAAUUUUAUGUUAUAUGCCUGUAAAUAAAGCUGGACCACUGAAACCAAACUGGAUGGGAAAAUAGGAUAGAAGGCUUAAAAUAGAAUAAAUAAUUUUAUAAAGUUAAGUUUUCUUUCUUAACCCCCCAAAUCUUAAAUUCAAUAUUAUAUAUUCUAUCUGAAUUUUCUAUUUUCAUGAAAACCGUACUGGUGAGACUGAACGCUGGGUGGCGGUCCCACUGCUGCUGAGAGGACGCGCUGCGGCGACGACGGUGACAGGACAGCCUGUUUCACCAGCACAAACAGCUGUGACAACAACUCCACGGUAACUCCACCUGUUAGAAAACACCUAAUAGGGUCCAGUCACUCACUGAUCCUGACGUUCAUUCUGGAAAGAAUGAAACGCAGCCUUCCGACAUUACCGAAAGGGGCCCACCCACCCUGUCCCCCACACCAGGCUCGCUGUGACGAGGCUGCAGUCAGACCAGAGGCAAGUCACCAGGAAUCGACCUGUGGUGAACAGUCUGCUCAAGGAAAUCUUAGAAAAAUAGGUACUUUUGCUGCUGAGGUUUCAUCAGGUUACACGAUUACAAAAGCGGGGUCACGCGAGAGUGGUCAGCAACCAGCUGUGACGUGGACACUGGCUCCGACUUACUUCCAUCUGUCUGUCUGUUUAAAUAUAUCAACUUAGCACCAUAGCAAAUUCAAGUGAUUUCAAAGAGAGUACAAAGUUACAAAUAUGUAUCGUGAGAUUAUUCCAGCCACAGCCAGGUGCCUCUGAGCCGUGACGGACUCUGUCUGAAUUUGGGUGCUCACUUCACCGCACAGGAAGGUGCCUCAGUCCUAAUGUAACACUUAGGACCGCGCUGUGCUAACUGGUGUUUUACGGGGUGCUUCAGCAGUAAUGUGUGUUUUGAGGUAGACAGGUAAUAUUUACUCAUACACACCUACUCGGUAAACCCUGUGUAGUAACGAAAAACAAUUUGGGUGAACAGCGAGCUUAGGUAACUGGACAAUCCAAACAGAACGGGGAGUGAAGGGGUCGAAAUCAAGAGGUGAGUUUUGACCAAUUUCUAACAACUUGUUUUGAGGUCUUUAAAAGGCCUUACAUUACAAUCGCUUGGGUUGGAUUAAUUUGAAUGUUUCUGUCAUCACUAAGAUUAGGUCUCAUGAGUAGCUGCUUCUGACAUUCACAUACACGAAACAGGAAGCAGAAGAAAACAAACACACCUGAAUGGCGAUGAGCCCAACCAUAACUUUUAAAGCAAAUUGCAGAAAAAACUCUAGUCACUAAAGUAAAAUACUUCAUGGAAAACCCAGCCCGCGGACCACAAGCAGAGGUGGGGGAUGGGGCUGCUGGCUGCAGGGUCACCCAGGGAUGGGGACACGCAGAAGGGACCACAGAGCUCCAGGACAGCGCCGCGGCCACUCGGGGAAAGGGCUCCUUCUCCUCCUUCCUGCCUGGCAUGUCCCAAGCUGCUCCUUUAAAGGGACAAAUAUUUUAUGUGCUGGCGCAGAGUUCAUUCUCCAAUCCCACAAAAAUAUUAACACUUGGGAGGAGAACGGGGCUAACAGAAUGUGUGGUGCCUGUGACUGGCAUGUUAGGUCAUCACGGAACUGAAAAAGCCACUUCGGGCACAGGAGCCAGCCCCCAUUAAGGGUGGGUGUCUGGGGACCUGGUGUCCUCGGCAGCCCCUUCUCUGCUGGACGCGCCUUCUCAGGAAAAGCCCCUACUUGCCAGCAUGUCUCUUCAACACAAUGAAAAUGGGGAGAACACGCAGCACAGCGAGUGGUGGCACUGCACUAUUUGUGCCUCAGCUAAUCACCAAAGUAACUGAUAAGAACCAGAACUGUGCUGCAAGCCGGCGUGGGGCUGCUCGGCCCGGGCCGCUCACGGGGGCCCGGAGCUGCCGGCGACGCUGGGCCGCAUGGCGGGGGGCGCUUAGCAGCACGGCCACCGUGCAGGGUCCACGGCCACCGCUUUGGGUACGCUUUUACAUUAGGUUUUUACACUUCUGAGUCUACAGGAAACUAAACGCAACAUAAAUAUCGUCAUUCAUAAAAAGAUACUUUUUCAAUAACUUAGGAAGGAUUCAAUAAACAUACAAGUGUGUUUGAGGCUUACCAUGAAACCUAAUUCAUAAACUGAACGGAAACGGCCAAGAUUUGCAAGACCUGGAAAGCGAGCAAAGGGCACGUGUGGGAAGGAACGCGCUGGGGCUGUGCGUGCCACUCUGGUCUGGAAACGGGAGGACGCGGGGAGUGCUGCUCAGCUCCGUGAACCGUGAAGUGUGUCAGCAUCUCGUCGCCGUGGUGCUGUCACCGCCGUGCUGUCACCGUGGUGCUGUCACCGCCGUGCAUCACCGCCGUGCUGCUGGUAGUGUCUCGUUGAAUGUGAGUUCUCGUGUACAAAAGUUAUAAAUAUUCUCUAUUCAGAAAUCUGGUCCACA